AAAACUAGCAAGACUAUCGAAUUCCGUGAAAUGACGAUUAUCCAAAUCCAAUCGAGGAACAUACCUCCAGAUAUUUCUCCAUUUGGUGGAUAAGACACUAGUCUUAAUCACAUCUUUUGUCGGAAGAUUCAGGAGAACAAGAACAAUCAAAGCUUCUGGCAAAUCACUUAUCCAAUCAACUUCAUCACCAGAUCCGUUGUCAGAAGAUUCAGGAGAACAUGAUCGUUUGGUACGAACACGUCUCUCUCCGUCUUCGUCCAUGUAACUUCAAAUUUGCGAAGAAAGCGGCAUAGAGUUGGUGAAAAUGAAACGA
rnacentral:sRNA from 1 species